rnacentral:rRNA from 1 species
CCUACGGGAGGCAGCAGUGGGGAAUAUUGCACAAUGGGGGAAACCCUGAUGCAGCGACGCCGCGUGAGUGAGGAAGUACUUCGGUAUGUAAAGCUCUAUCAGCAGGGAAGAAAAUGACGGUACCAGACUAAGAAGCCCCGGCUAACUACGUGCCAGCAGCCGCGGUAAUACGUAGGGGGCGAGCGUUAUCCGGAUUUACUGGGUGUAAAGGGAGCGUAGGCGGUUAAUCAAGUCAGAAGUGAAAUACCGUGGCUCAACCUUGGGACUGCUUUUGAAACUGAGUAGCUUGAGUGCAGGAGAGGUAAGCGGAAUUCCUAGUGUAGCGGUGAAAUGCGUAGAUAUUAGGAGGAACACCAGUGGCGAAGGCGGCUUACUGGACUGUAACUGACGUUGAGGCUCGAAAGCGUGGGGAGCAAACAGGAUUAGAUACCCGAGUAGUC